UUCUCUACUCUUUUCUGGAAAAAUUCUGCAGUAGUAUGCACUACAUAUGAAUAUUUAUUAGAGGAAAAUAAUGGUGAUACCCAUAUUUGAAUUUUAAUCUGAGAUUUUGGAUAUUAUUAACUUCCCUGGCAGUAUUAAGAGGAAUAAUUCCAUUUUCUCGUACUGAAAAAACUGCAAAUGAACAACAAGUAAAUAGAACUGAAUUGUCUUUUGUAAAGACCUGAGCGAGACUGAGGGUAUGCAGGCUACAUGUGAAAGCUUACAGAAAGCCAGACAGACUUAAAGUGUCGAGGACCUCUUUGCCUUGAGUUCUGCCCCAAGUUGCCCAACUCCAGGGACAGAUCUGCGGGCCCUGCCUAUGUGCCUGCAGCCCUAUAAUAUGGUUCUGUUACAGUCUCAGAGGUGUUUUGAUUUAGUUUCACAUUGUUUGCUCUGCUGAGAAAAGUUUUGGCCUUAAUGGCUGAAAGGAAAAAAGUCUUGAAAACUGAAACCAAACGAAGCCUGUGGCAAGAGCAUUGGCCUCCAUCUGCAGGGUUGUGACAAGAGACAGGAGUGCAGGAGAGAGGACUAUGUGCAGUUCCCCCAGCUAUUGGCAAAUUCCCUUUGGAGAAGUACUGGGAGACCUCCUGCAUGUGUCUGCAGCACUCUGUGGCUGAAGGGUGUCCCCAUGCAAUGAGGUUGUCCCUGUCCAAGCCGCUGCCGUCAGGUUCAUUAUGUGAAGCAAUGUUGAGGAUACAAGCUGGAUUCCUCUUGAAUAAAACAGACCCAGAAAAUGUUCUCCAGAGUCACUCCUCAAGCAUCCUGGCUGCAAAUUGCUGAUCAGAGUGUGUGGGUAUCAAAAAUUUCAGGACAACAGUAGAGAAAACAUUAAGAAGCACCAAUGGAGUUCUCCAUGUGAACCUGGAGGCAAUCGCUGCACUGUAUUUGAACAAUUUCUCUCAAUUCUCCACUGACUUGAGCAAGUGAAACAUACUCUAUGUCUAAAAUGCAGUGGCUGUCGCCACCGCACCUCCUCCCACCAUGACAUGGCAGUGACAUGGCAGCUGCUACCUGUUGCCACUAGAACACGGCUGCUGUGUCUCUAUCCCACAGUGACACAGCUUGCAAAGAUGCACUUGCCUCUUUUUACAAUUAAUAACUAAUUAAUUAAAUAAAAGCAUAUGACUCAUCACUGUUCUGGGUGGGGGUAAGUUAGGGUAGGUAAGGCUGGAUUAAGUUGUGAAGAAAAGCGCACAGUUUAUUGCUGUGUGUUGCUGGAAAGUGUUUAGCAAUUGCAUUGUGGCUCUACGUCGCGUUGUCAUUGUGCUCUCAUUGCCUUUUUUGUCUUCUGUCUUCAAACAUAUUAUUUAUUUCUUCCCACCUGGUCAGUUUCAUAUCCAGUUCCCUCCCUCAUCCCACUUCAGUAGUCUGAUCAAAGGACAUUGUGGUCCUGAGUGGCUGCCAGGUUACAGCACACCAAAGAGCCCACUGGCGCCCAACCUCUGCUCCUCUGAGUGUCCUUGUGUGCUGGAAAAUGAUCAGAAUGUUCAUAAACGUGGAGAAAGGUUGAGAGUAGCCACACUGCUGACCACGGGCACGGAGCAUACGCUCUGCAGAGCAGAGGUGAGGGACAGCGCUCCUCAGGCCGAGAGGUGCUGCAUUCCUUGCCCCCCACAUAGCUCAGGCAUGCCUGUUGGCCUCACAAACAGGCUGAAUUGCUGCAGAACACCCAGCAGAGGCACGGUUCCAUAGAUGAAGACAAAACAGCAGCAGAUGGGUACUAACGGAAUGUUUCUAAUACUGCCAUCCCAACCCUGCCUUCAGCCCGCACCUGGGGGGCACUGCUGAGGCGAGCUGCGCUGGACAAAGCCCCUGAGACUGGCUGAGGGGCACGGAGAGUCCCGGAUUCAGCUGAAGAGGGGCUAACACUCCACAACUGGGUGGGCUGGAGCCGCUGCCAUGAAGGGUAGCAGUGGGCCAGGCCAGGCCAGGGCCGCCAUUGGGUGGAGCUGUUUCGUACCCUGUGACCUCACACUGAUGCCUUAAUGCUGUGGGCGGAGGGCAGUUGGUGAGCAGUUGGGGCUGCUGGCCUGCAGAGUGAGCUGCUGGAUAGCAGUUGGCACUGCUGAUUAGCAGUUGGCACUGCUGGUUUGCAGUGAGAGCUGCUGGAAAGCAGUUGGAGCUGCUGGAAAGCAGUUGGAUCUGCUGGAUACCAGCUGACACAGCUGGUUUGCAGUUGGUGCUGCUGGUUAGCAGUUGGAGCUGCUGGAUAGCAGUUGGAGCUGCCGUAUGGCAGUUUGUGCUGCUGGUCUGCAAGUGUGAGCUGCUGGUUAGCAGUUGGCGCUGCUGGAUAGCAGUUUGAGCUGCUGGAUAGCAGUUGGCACGGCUGGCAACCAGUUAGCACUGUCGUAUGGCAGUUUGAGCUGCUGGUUUGCAGCUGGCACUGCAGUUUAGUCUCUGUGUUGGUUCUGGCCUUGAUCAGCAGUAUCUAUGGCUGUACAUCACUUAGUGACUGGGCUGCUGCCUGCCGCCCGGCUCUUCCGGGCAUCUACUACGCCGCCUAGCUCUUUUGGACAUCUGCUACGCUGCUUGCCUCGUCUUGUAAUCUACUAUGCUGCCUGCCUUUUCCUGGCAUCUACUACACCGCUUGGCUCUUCUUGGAAACUACUACGCAGACUGGCUCUUGGAAUCUACCGUGCUGCCUGCCUCUUCUUUGGAAUCUACUGUGCUGCCUGCCUCUUCUUUGGAAUCUACUACGCUGCCUGCCUCUUUUUUGGAAUAUUCCACGCUGCCUGCCUCUUUUUUGGAAUCUACUACUCUGCCUGCCUCUUCUUGGAAUCUGCUACAACACCUGCCUCUACUUGGAAUCUACUGCGCUACCUGUAUCUUCUUUGGAAUAUACUACGCUGCCUGCAGCUUCUUUGGAAUAUACUAUGCCGCCUGCAGCUUCUGUGGAAUAUACUACACCUCCUGCAGCUUCUGUGACAUAUACUACGCCACUUGUAUCUUCUUUGGGAUACUCUACGCUGCCUGCCUCUUCUUUUGCGUGUACUACACUGCCUGCGUCUUCUUUGGAACACACGACGGCAUCUGCCUCUUUGGAGUAUAUUACGCCUCCUGCCUCUUCUUGGAAUAUGCUACACUACCAGCACCUUCUCGGAACAUAUGAUGCCAUUUGCCUCUUCUUGGACUACACUGUGCCGCCUGCCUCUUCUUGGACUAUACUUCGCCGCCUGCCUCUUCUUGCAAUAUACUGUGCUGCCUGGCUCCUUCUGGACUAUACUGUGCAACCUGCCUCUGUUAUGGAAUAUGCUACGGCACCUGCCUCUUCUAUGGAAUAUUCUGUGCCACCUGCCUCUGCUAUGGAAGACACUACACAGCCUGAUGGUUUUACGUAAAGUACUAUGCCAGCUGCUUCUGCUAUGGAAUACGCUACGUUGCCUGCCUCGUUUACGGAAUAUACUAUACCACCUGCCUCGUCUAUGGAAUAUACCAAGCUGCGUGUCUCCUUUUGGAGUACACCUUGCUGCCAGGCUCUUUCUGGAAUAUACCACGCUGCGUGGCUCCAUUUGGAACACAGCAUGCCGCCUGACUAUCUUUGGAACAUACCAUGCCAGCUGGCUGUCAUUGGAGCGUAGCAUGCAGGCUGGUUCUCUUUGGCAUAUACCAUGCAGCCUGGCUCUCUUUGGAAUAUGCCACACCGACUGACUCGCUUUGGAAUACACCGUACUUCCUGGCUCUCUUGGGAAUAGAGUACGCCGCCUGGCUCUCCUUGAAAUAGAGUACACCACCUGGCUCUUUCCAUUAAAUUUGCAAUGUCUCUUUGUUUACAUAACUGUACUGCAUUUUCCUUGUUGUAUCAUAGAAUGGCAUGGUUUGGAAUGGACCUCAAGAAUCGUCAACUUCCAACUCCCCUGCCGCAGGGGAUUAAUGAGGCCAUUUUGUCCAUCCCCUUCUUCAAACCAGAUCGUCUCAGUUGAGGGAUGGUAUGCAACCGCAUGCCAUUUACUUGCAUUUCCUCUGCUGGACCUAUCUGUGUACCAGCCAUCCUCUGAAAUUGGAUAUUUUCCCUUAUGUGUGGGACUCUUCUGUGGUGGAGUGACGGAAACCUCCUGGGGUGCAUCGCCAGUGGAAGCCCACCUAGAAACCAGUGGCAGGUGAGCACCCAGCGAGGUUACAGCCAUGCUUUGGAAGCCAUUGCCACACAUUCUGCUCCUGUGGGUGAGUCCCUUCCUGCACUCAUACAUUCCGGCUCAAAGAAGCGUGUAGCUAAGUGCCCUGGCAGGACUGCCAAGCUGUGACUCAUCUACAGCACUGGGGUGAAAGUGCCUUGAUCUUCAUCCACUGAAGAAAAGCCUGGAAGGCUUUUAGAUGCCCAUAAAAUAAAGAGGUUUUAUUAGAGAGUUUACAACAG